GACGAACGCUGGCGGCGUGCCUAAUACAUGCAAGUCGAGCGAAGCGGCGGACGGGUGAGUAACACGUAAGGAACCUACCGAUAAGCGGGGGACAACAUCCGGAAACGGGUGCUAAUACCGCAUACUUAUCGAUGGCCUUGCGGUGCAUUAGCUCGUUGGUGGGGUAACGGCCUACCAAGGCAAUGAUGCAUAGCCGACCUGAGAGGGUUAACGGCCACAAUUGGACUGAGACACGGGCCCAACUCCUAAGGGAGGGCGCAAUAGGGAAUCUUCCGGAAAUGACGGAAGUCUGGCCGAGCAAAGCCGGGGGGAGGAUGACGGCCUUCGGGUUGUAAAGCUCUGUUAAUCGGGACGCGGUACCGGAAUAGAAAGCCACGGCUAACUACGUGCCAGCAGCCGCGGUAAUUC
rnacentral:rRNA from 1 species